rnacentral:rRNA from 1 species
GAUGAACGCUGGCGGCGUGCCUAAUACAUGCAAGUCGAGCGAACAGACGAGGAGCUUGCUCCUCUGACGUUAGCGGCGGACGGGUGAGUAACACGUGGAUAACCUACCUAUAAGACUGGGAUAACUUCGGGAAACCAGAGCUAAUACCGGAUAAUAUAUUGAACCGCAUGGUUCAAUAGUGAAAGACGGUUUUGCUGUCACUUAUAGAUGGAUCCGCGCCGCAUUAGCUAGUUGGUAAGGUAACGGCUUACCAAGGCAACGAUGCGUAGCCGACCUGAGAGGGUGAUCGGCCACACUGGAACUGAGACACGGUCCAGACUCCUACGGGAGGAAGCAGUAGGGAAUCUUCCGCAAUGGGCGAAAGCUUGACGGAGCAACGCCGCGUGAGUGAUGAAGGUCUUCGGAUCGUAAAACUCUGUUAUUAGGGAAGAACAAAUGUGUAAGUAACUAUGCACGUCUUGACGGUACCUAAUCAGAAAGCCACGGCUAACUACGUG